AGUGAACGCUGGCGGUAGGCCUAACACAUGCAAGUCGAACGGCAGCACAGUAAGAGCUUGCUCUUACGGGUGGCGAGUGGCGGACGGGUGGGGAAUACAUCGGAAUCUACUUUUUCGUGGGGGAUAACGUAGGGAAACUUACGCUAAUACCGCAUACGUCCUACGGGUGAAAGCAGGGGAUCUUCGGACCUUGCGCGAUUGAAUGAGCCGAGGUCGGAUUAGCUAGUUGGCGGGGUAAAGGCCCACCAAGGCGACGAUCCGUAGCUGGUCUGAGAGGAUGAUCAGCCACACUGGAACUGAGACACGGUCCAGACUCCUACGGGAGGCAGCAGUGGGGAAUAUUGGACAAUGGGCGCAAGCCUGAUCCGGCCAUACCGCGUGGGUGAAGAAGGCCUUCGGGUUGUAAAGCCGUUUUGUUGGGAAAGAAAAGCAGCAGGUGAAUACCCCGCUGUUCUGACGGUACCCAAAGAAUAAGCACCGGCUAACUUCGUG
rnacentral:rRNA from 1 species